AGGUUCCACCGAGAUUUGAACUCGGAUCGCUGGAUUCAGAGUCCAGAGUCCAGAGUGCUAACCAUUACACCAUGGAACC